UGUGUGGCAUGUAAUGCUUAUGACAUGAUUUUUUCACACACACGUGUUGAGGGGGCUUCUUCCCCAAAUUCCUCACCUCUCACUCACAUUUUCCAGAUUCUAAAAGAUACUGAGAAAACCGGAGGAGAGAGAGGGUGGGGGGAGAUCGGAGAAGAGAUGGGAGAGAGAGACGGUGGAGAUCAGAGAAGAGAUGGGAGAGAGACACGGGGUAGGUUGCUGCCACGCCUCCAGCGGCAACGAGGGUGGUUAAACCAUCGGAAUCAGGGUCUGCCGCACAUGGGUCACCAGCGACGACAUGGGGUUCCGGUGAUGAACCAGGAGCUCCAGUUAAGACUGUGAGGUGCGAUUUCAGGUCUGAUUCAAGGGUGUUUUCUUUGGGUUGUUUGGGCAAACUAGCAGAUAAGGAUGAUAAGUUGCCGGGAGUGUACAAUGGUUACUUGAUUGUUAAAUGUUAAGUUCAGUCUUAUCGCAUUGGAUUUUAGGGGGUUUCGCAACGGCAUUUGAGGCCAUUAUCUUUAUUUGGUCCACAUCGUCAUUCUCAUAGAACAAAAAAGGGACAACAUGUGAACACAUGUUACUUGCACAUGAGGGGAUAAAUGCUGAGCAGCUGGCACCUAAUUUAAAAUCAUUUGAGUUGAAGGUAUUAGUUAGUUACUUGAGUUGUGUUGAUUUCUGUAAGAAAAGGAAAAAUGUUCAAGUUUUACUUAGAAAUUUGACGGUUGCCAACCACUGAAUUCUUUUUUUUUUUUUUUUUUUAUCAAUUACGGCAUUAGUAUAUAAACAUAUAGGAAUAGUUUUUCCAUAAAGUUGUCACUUGGUGUAGUGGAAACCAUGCUUCAUUGUAAGCCAAUGGACCUGGGUCCGAAUCCUAGCUACCCUAUUUGUUUUUAUACUUGUUAAAUUUACAAGCCUGAUUCCUACUUGCUGUGAAGUGUAUGCAAUUGGUGCAGCAAGUUUGAGUAGAAGUGUUAUGUCCAUGCAAUUGGUACAACUUAGUUAUAGGUUGAGUAUAAUGAAAAUUUUUAAAGAUCUCAACAUAAUGUAAACAAAACUACAGCGAUUUGGGAUUUUGUGGCUUCACGAAGCAGGUGCCAAAGGAAUUUUUUUAUCAGCCUAAAUGGUCUCUUUAAGACACACUUACAGUACAGGGGAACAUAAAAAUGGAAGUAGCUCCUUCAUUCAAUCAUGCAGGUAGCUAUUUGGGUCAUAUUAAGGUGACAAAAUAACUUGGUAAUCAAACAGAAGGAACCUAAUCUGGAAGGGGCGAAAGAACGGAUUAGACACUUGGGUCAGGAGUUGAGCAAAAGGAAUUAAAUGUCUCAUGGUCCUAAUGGUGUAGGAUGGAUGUUUCAAGUAUGGGUCAGUAAUGUUUGUGGUGUUUUGUAAUUGAUAUACUGCACUUGGUGUGGUCUAACAUUGUAAGCCCAAGAUUUAAUAAACUUUGU